rnacentral:rRNA from 1 species
CUACGGGAGGCAGCAGUGGGGAAUAUUGGACAAUGGGCGAAAGCCUGAUCCAGCCAUGCCGCGUGUGUGAAGAAGGCCUUCGGGUUGUAAAGCACUUUCAGUGGGGAAGAAAGCCUUGGGGCUAAUACCCUCGAGGAAGGACAUCACCCACAGAAGAAGCACCGGCUAACUCCGUGCCAGCAGCCGCGGUAAUACGGAGGGUGCGAGCGUUAAUCGGAAUUACUGGGCGUAAAGCGCGCGUAGGCGGUCUGAUAAGCCGGUUGUGAAAGCCCCGGGCUCAACCUGGGAACGGCAUCCGGAACUGUCAGGCUAGAGUGCAGGAGAGGAAGGUAGAAUUCCCGGUGUAGCGGUGAAAUGCGUAGAGAUCGGGAGGAAUACCAGUGGCGAAGGCGGCCUUCUGGACUGACACUGACGCUGAGGUGCGAAAGCGUGGGUAGCAAACAGGAUUAGAUACCCCAGUAGUC